AUCAAUAAUAAGUUUGCACCUCGUGGCCGGAUACAGCGAUUCGGAUUUCGAAUCAGCUAUUUUUUUGUUAUCUUUUGGGAUUUGGAAACUACGGCGUUUUAAAAUUGUUACAGUUACAGUAUUUUACAAGGAAUCCACCUGACAUCCGCUUUAGAUUAUAAUAACUAGUACACUGAUGGUUACCUUUAGAUAGGAUAACAUCAGUUUUGCUGAGUGGGAUCUACGAUGGCCGGAUAAGAUCCCCUUUGAAUCGUGUUUGUUUGUUGAUACCUUUAAUAUACUGUACGCUGCUCUAACUGGAUGUGGUUACUGCUGACAGAUUACCAGCGGAAGUCCACGUAGCCUUCACCCCCGGACACCAGCAGACUGGCGUCCUCCUGGCUGGCCUUCGGGUCGUUGCUGGAAGGCGUGGCCCCGCCGAGUGUGUACGUUCCUGCAUUGAGCAAUCAUUUUUAAAUAUCACUAAUGCGUGCAUUACGGAUUGAUGUCCCACGGGGAUCAGCGCAAUACAACGCACCGGGAAUGGAGACGAAGAACUUGACCUCCUCCCGGCGUCCGUGAUACGACACCUGCGCCAGGGGGUCAUCACACCCGGGCAGACACUUCGAUACGACUGGCCGCCUCCUUGUCCGGGUUGCUGGCAUCUAAAUUAAUAACACCAUUACGCUACGACGACUGUCAACCACUUUAGACACCAUACAGUGGCAUUCACAAAGCGGACGAAAAACUGUCACUUUAUCGACCAUUCAACGAGCUACUUUCCUUAUCCACUGUACCUACCAGGAUCUUCAUGGAGAGGGGAUCGACGACGUGGAUCUUGUUCCGGCAACCGGCCCACACGCAGUCCCGUUGCUCACUGCCAGCCGCCCCCGGGCUGCGGCGGAUGCCGGGGAUGUAGUCGGGAUAGGGCGGCGGGACGAUGCUCAUGGCGCGGAUGGCGUGGUCGGCCUGGCCCAGACUCAGCAGGUGGUAGUUGGUCGUGUCCCACCAGCCACCCGGCUGCACCCGCCGGAACACCGCCACGCGCCCGUCCGCCAACGAGGCCAGCACGCGGCCCGUCGUUAAUUACUGACAUUUCGCCGAGCGUAGCACUCACACAAUGCAGAGGACCGCGUCGUCCAGGAUCACCUUGCUGAGGCGUUUGCGAUAUAUCCGCGACGCGUGAUAAAUGUACAACCUGCAUCAAGGCGUCAGUGUUCAGUGGAGCGGUGCCAUACACGUCAUUACACGAAACUGUUCCAAUAUGAUCGUUGAAAUUACCCACGAUUCUGACUGCCGAUCCACACGGUACCCUCCACCCGGGCGCGGCCCAGAUCGGAGUCAACGGGAAUGUGGUCACUACAGCUCUCCGCACUGGGAUCCCACUUCGCGCUCAUCUCGCUCGACAGAUCCGCUGUUGCAUUGUUCACUGCAACACAAUCACCAUUGUUCGAUCAUUUUUAUUAGUGUAAAUCAGCGCAGGCAUGUUGUUAUGUAUACUGGCUAUUGUCGAUAAAGUUUACAUCACCAUUGUUACCGCGGUCGCUCUGUAUUCUGGUCGAUUAAUUCUCCACUAACAAAAUGCAAUAAUAGAUACACCUUCGCGGUGGAGAUUUUUGGAUUAUUUGCUCAUAAGGUCAAUUAGGUAUUUUCCAAAUUAAAUGAAAUUAGCUGUGCAUUAUUUUGCAUACUGGUUAUA